rnacentral:rRNA from 1 species
AUUGAACGCUGGCGGCAGGCCUAACACAUGCAAGUCGAGCGAGAGGCGGACGGGUGAGUAAUGUAUGGGGAUGUGCCCGAGAGAGGGGGAUAACUACCGGAAACGGUGGCUAAUAACGUAUACUAUAGGCUGAACCCAUAUGGGAUGAGCUAGUAGGUUGGGUAAAGGAUUACCAAGGCGACGAUCUCUACCUGGUCUGAGAGGAUGAUCAGUCACACUGGGACUGAGACACGGCCCAGACUCCUACGGGAGGCAGCAGUGGGGAAUAUUGCACAAUGGGCGCAAGCCUGAUGCAGCCAUGCCGCGUGUGUGAAGAAGGCCUUCGGGUUGUAAAGUACUUUAAGCUGGGAGGCGUUACCCGCAGAAGAAGCACCGGCUAACUCCGUGCCAGCAGCCGCGGUAAUUC